GACGAACGCUGGCGGCGUGCUUAACACAUGCAAGUCGAACGGAAAGGCCCCUUUGGGGGUACUCGAGUGGCGAACGGGUGAGUAACUCGUGAGUAACCUGCCCUUGACUUCGGGAUAACUUCAGGAAACUGGGGCUAAUACCGGAUAGGAAUCCUUGCUGCAUGGUGGGGGUUGGAAAGCUUCGGCGGUUUUGGAUGGACUCGCGGCUUAUCAGCUUGUUGGUGGGGUAGUGGCUUACCAAGGCUUUGACGGGUAGCCGGCCUGAGAGGGCGACCGGCCACAUUGGGACUGAGAUACGGCCCAGACUCCUACGGGAGGCAGCAGUGGGGAAUAUUGCACAAUGGGCGGAAGCCUGAUGCAGCAACGCCGCGUGCGGGAUGACGGCCUUCGGGUUGUAAACCGCUUUCAGCAGGGGCGAAGCUUGUGGUGACGGUACCUGCAGAAGAAGCACCGGCUAACUACGUG
rnacentral:rRNA from 1 species